AGGAAGAGGAAGAGAUGGAGGCCAUGCUGGAGGUAGAGGUAGAGGAAGACAAGAAGGUGCUCAAAGAGGACCGAAUCUGACAAAUGAGAUCCGCGCAACACUGGUUGACCACGUUGUCCACCACGGCCUGACGCUGAGGGAGGCUGGACUGCGAGUACAGACAAAUCUAAGCCCAUACACAGUGGCAAUUGUGAUAAGAACAUUUCGACUGGAAAAUAGGAUUGAGGGUCAGGAAUGACAAGGGGGAAGGCCUCCUAUGUUCACAGAACAGCAACAGAGGGAGAUAGUAAACAUGGUUUUGGCCAACAAUGCUAUAACACUCAAUCAGCUCCAAACUAACAUUGUCAAUAACCACGCCAGUUUCAACAAUAUCCAUCAGGUCUCAACAUCAACACUGGCACGCAUCCUAAAUAAAAACAUAUUCAAAUGAAGCAAAUUUUUCGAGUGCCUUUCGAGCGCAAUUCCGAAAUGUUGAAAUGACUGCAGCAUAAUUAUGCAGAGAGAGUUUUACGAAUGGAUGGAGAGGAGAUCCAGCAUGAGUUCAUUUACAUAGAUGAGGCUGGGUUCAACCUGACGAGAACACGAAGGAGGGGAAGAACCAUCAUUGUCCACAGGGCUAUAGUCAACGUCCCAGGGCAACGUGGGGGUAAUAUAACACUCUGUGCAGCCAUUACACAGAAUGGGUCCUCCAUGCCCAUAUGGGCCCUUACAACACAGCACUCAUACUUACAUUCUUGGACCAAAUGCACAACAUAACAGCAGCAAAUCAAAUCGAUCAUAUGCAAUACAUUGUUGUCUGGGAAAAUGUGUCUUUCCACCGUUCUGCUCUGGUUCAGAACUGGUUUCAGCAACAUCCACAUUUCACAGUCCUAUAUCUUCCACCAUACUCUCCAUUCCUCAACCCUAUAGAAGAGUUAUUCUCGGCAUGGCGGUGGAAGGUAUAUGAUCUCCGUCUCCAGGUUGAGGUACCCCUCAUCCAAGCCAUGGAGGAGGCCUGUGACCAGAUGGAGGUAGCAGCAAUGCAAGGAUGGAUUCGUCAUUCAAGACGUUUCUUUUCAAGGUGUCUUGCUAAUGACAACAUUGCCUGUGAUGUUGAGGAAAUUCUCUGGCCAGAUC